UCACUCUCCCACACGCGGUUGGCCAUGUCGUUGCCAAUGGCCGUCAGCACCAGGGUCAGCUCCCGCGGCCAGUCGUCCAAGUCGAGCGAGCGAACGCGGGACAGGUCCUGGUCCUGCCACUUACUGACCUGGAGAUUUUGAGCAAAUCACUUAAUCUUCUGAGCCUCGGUUUCCUAUCCACCAAAAUGAAGAUAUUCUUGACCUGA